rnacentral:rRNA from 1 species
GUGGGGAAUUUUGGACAAUGGGCGCAAGCCUGAUCCAGCAAUGCCGCGUGCAGGAAGAAGGCCUUCGGGUUGUAAACUGCUUUUGUACGGAACGAAACGGUCCUGGCUAAUAUCCGGGGCUAAUGACGGUACCGUAAGAAUAAGCACCGGCUAACUACGUGCCAGCAGCCGCGGUAAUACGUAGGGUGCGAGCGUUAAUCGGAAUUACUGGGCGUAAAGCGUGCGCAGGCGGUGCUGUAAGACAGGCGUGAAAUCCCCGGGCUCAACCUGGGAAUUGCGCUUGUGACUGCAGUGCUGGAGUGCGGCAGAGGGGGAUGGAAUUCCGCGUGUAGCAGUGAAAUGCGUAGAUAUGCGGAGGAACACCGAUGGCGAAGGCAAUCCCCUGGGCCUGCACUGACGCUCAUGCACGAAAGCGUGGGGAGCAAACAGGAUUAGAUACCCCUGUAGUCC